UAGCUGGAUGGUGGGGUAAAGGCCUACCAUGGCUGAGAUCAGUAGCCGGCCUGAGAGGGCACACGGCCACACUGGCACUGAAACACGGGCCAGACUCCUACGGGAGGCAGCAGUGGGGAAUCUUGCACAAUGGGGGAAACCCUGAUGCAGCGACGCCGCGUGAGCGAUGAAGCCCUUCGGGGUGUAAAGCUCUUUCGGCAGGGACGAUAAUGACGGUACCUGAAGAAGAAGCUGCGGCUAACUACGUGCCAGCAGCCGCGGUAAUACGUAGGCAGCGAGCGUUGUUCGGAGUUACUGGGCGUAAAGCGUGCGUAGGCGGUGGUCCAAGUCUGGUGUGAAAUCUCCCGGCUCAACUGGGAGGGUGCGCCGGAAACUGGGCCGCUGGAGUGCGGGAGAGGCAAGCGGAAUUCCAGGUGUAGCGGUGAAAUGCGUAGAUAUCUGGAGGAACACCCGUGGUGCAGACGGCUUGCUGGACCGUGACUGACGCUGAGGCACGAAAGCGUGGGUAGCAAACAGGAUUAGAUACCCUGGUAGUCCACGCCCU
rnacentral:rRNA from 1 species